AGGGUUUGAUUAUGGCUCAGAUUGAACGCUGGCGGGAUGCUUUACACAUGCAAGUCGAACGGCAGCACGGACUUCGGUCUGGUGGCGAGUGGCGAACGGGUGAGUAAUGUAUCGGAACGUGCCUAGUAGCGGGGGAUAACUACGCGAAAGCGUAGCUAAUACCACAUACACCCUUCGGGAAAGCAGAGCCCUUCGGGCCUCGCACUAUUAGAGCAGCCGAUAUCGGAUUAGCUAGUUGGUGGGGUAACGGCUCACCAAGGCGACGAUCCGUAGCUGGUUUGAGAGGACGACCAGCCACACUGGGACUGAGACACGGCCCAGACUCCUGCGGGAGGCAGCAGUGGGGGAAUUUUGGACAAUGGGGGAAACCUGAUCCAGCCAUCCCGCGUGUGCGAUGAAGGCCUUCGGGUUGUAAAGCACUUUUGGCAGGAAAGAAACGGCACGGGAUAAUACCCCACGUGCAGCUGACCAGUACCUGCAGAAUAAGCACCGGCUAACUACGUGCCAGCAGCCGCGGUAAUACGUAGGGUGCAAGCGUUAAUCGGAAUUACUGGGCGUAAAGCGUGCGCAGGCGGUUCGGAAGAAAGAUGUGAAAUCCUGAGCUUAACUUUGGAACUGCAUUUUUAACUACCGAGCUAGAGUGUGUCAGAGGAGGUGGAAUUCCGCAUGUGUAGUGAAAUGCGUAGAUAUGCGGAGGAACACCGAUGGCGAAGGCAGCCUCCUGGGAUAACACCUGACGCUCAUGCACGAAAGCGUGGGAGCAAACAGGAUGCGAUGCCCUGGUAGUCCACGCCCUGAUGUCAACUAGCUGUUGUUGGGGCCUUCGGGCCUUGGUAGCGCAGCUAACGCGUGAAGUUGACCGCCUGGAAAUACGGUCGCAAGAUUAAAACUCAAAGGAAUUGACGGGGACCCGCACAAGCGGUGGAUGAUGUGGAUUAAUUCGAUGCAACGCGAAAAACCUUACCUACCCUUGACAUGUCUGGAAUCCCGAAGAGAUUUGGGAGUGCUCGCAAGAGAACCGGAACACAGGUGCUGCAUGGCUGUCGUCAGCUCGUGUCGUGAGAUGUUGGGUUAAGUCCCGCAACGAGCGCAACCCUUGUCAUUAGUUGCUACGAAAGGGCACUCUAAUGAGACUGCCGGUGACAAACCGGAGGAAGGUGGGGAUCGACGUCAAGUCUCAUGGCCCUUAUGGGUAGGGCUUCACACGUCAUACAAUGGUCGGGACAGAGGGUCGCCAACCCGCGAGGGGGAGCCAAUCCCAGAAACCCGAUCGUAGUCCGGAUCGCAGUCUGCAACUCGACUGCGUGAAGUCGGAAUCGCUAGUAAUCGCGGAUCAGCAUGUCGCGGUAGAAUACGUUCCACAGGUCUUGUACACACCGCCCGUCACACCAUGGGGUGGGUUUGCAGAAGUAGUUAGCCUAACCGUAAGGAGGGCGAUUACUACGGUAGGAUUCAUGACUGGGGUGAAGUCCGUAAUAAGGUAG
rnacentral:rRNA from 1 species